UAAUACGGAGGGUGCGAGCGUUGUCCGGAAUCACUGGGCGUAAAGGGCGCGUAGGCGGUUUGGUAAGCGUGCGGUGAAAGCCCGGGGCUCAACCCCGGGUCGGCCGUGCGGACUGCGAGACUGGAGCACUGUAGAGGCGGGUGGAAUUCCGGGUGUAGCGGUGGAAUGCGUAGAGAUCCGGAAGAACACCGGUGGCGAAGGCGGCCCGCUGGGCAGUGGCUGACGCUGAGGCGCGACAGCGUGGGGAGCAAACAGGAUUAGAUACCCUGGUAGUCCACGCCGUAAACGAUGGGCACUAGAUGCCUGGGGGAGCGACCCUCCGGGUGUCGGCGCUAACGCAUUAAGUGCCCCGCCUGGGGAGUACGGCCGCAAGGCUG
rnacentral:rRNA from 1 species